UGCAAGUCGAACGAAGUGCCUUCGGGUGCUUAGUGGCGCACGGGUGCGUAACGCGUGGGAAUCUGCCCCUUGGUUCGGAAUAACAGUUGGAAACGACUGCUAAUACCGGAUGACGACGUAAGUCCAAAGAUUUAUCGCCGAGGGAUGAGCCCGCGUAGGAUUAGGUAGUUGGUGUGGUAAAGGCGCACCAAGCCGACGAUCCUUAGCUGGUCUGAGAGGAUGAUCAGCCACACUGGGACUGAGACACGGCCCAGACUCCUACGGGAGGCAGCAGUGGGGAAUAUUGGACAAUGGGCGAAAGCCUGAUCCAGCAAUGCCGCGUGAGUGAUGAAGGCCUUAGGGUUGUAAAGCUCUUUUACCCGGGAUGAUAAUGACAGUACCGGGAGAAUAAGCUCCGGCUAACUCCGUGCCAGCAGCCGCGGUAAUACGGAGGGAGCUAGCGUUAUUCGGAAUUACUGGGCGUAAAG
rnacentral:rRNA from 1 species